GAUGAACGCUGGCGGCGUGCCUAAUACAUGCAAGUCGAGCGAACAGACGAGGAGCUUGCUCCUCUGACGUUAGCGGCGGCCGGGUGAGUAACACGUGGAUAACCUACCUAUAAGACUGGGAUACCUUCGGGAAACCGGAGCUAAUACCGGAUAAUAUAUUGAACCGCAUGGUUCAAUAGUGAAAGACGGUUUUGCUGUCACUUAUAGAUGGAUCCGCGCCGCAUUAGCUAGUUGGUAAGGUAACGGCUUACCAAGGCAACGAUGCGUAGCCGACCUGAGAGGGUGAUCGGCCACACUGGAACUGAGACACGGUCCAGACUCCUACGGGAGGCAGCAGUAGGGAAUCUUCCGCAAUGGGCGAAAGCCUGACGGAGCAACGCCGCGUGAGUGAUGAAGGUCUUCGGAUCGUAAAACUCUGUUAUUAGGGAAGAACAAAUGUGUAAGUAACUAUGCACGUCUUGACGGUACCUAAUCAGAGAGCCACGGCUAACUACGUG
rnacentral:rRNA from 1 species